rnacentral:rRNA from 1 species
UACGUAGGGCCCGAGCGUUGUCCGGAAUCAUUGGGCGUAAAGAGCGUGUAGGCGGCCACUUAAGUCCUGCGUGAAAUCUUGCGGCUCAACCGCAAGCGGUCGUGGGAAACUGGGUGGCUAGAGUGCGGGAGAGGAGAGUGGAAUUCCUGGUGUAGCGGUGGAAUGCGUAGAUAUCAGGAGGAACACCUGCGGUGUAGACAGCUUUCUGGACCACUUCUGACGCUGAGACACGAAAGCGUGGGUAGCAAACAGG